ACGCUCGACACCUACGUGAGGCAGCAGUGGGGAAUAUUGCACAAUGGGGGAAACCCUGAUGCAGCGACGCCGCGUGAGCGAAGAAGUAUUUCGGUAUGUAAAGCUCUAUCAGCAGGGAAGAAAAUGACGGUACCUGACUAAGAAGCCCCGGCUAACUACGUGGCAGCAGCCGCGGUAAUCUGAGCGGGCUGGCAAGGC
rnacentral:rRNA from 1 species